rnacentral:antisense_RNA from 1 species
UUCCAUGGGCGGGCCCUGGCAGGGGAGCCCCUCGGGGCUCGCCGGCUUGCUCCUAUUCCCGGUCUGCUAACCCUGCCUUGCGCCCGCCCACCCCA